rnacentral:rRNA from 1 species
UACGUAGGGUGCGAGCGUUUAAUCGGAAUUACUGGGCGUAAAGCGUGCGCAGGCGGUUUUGUAAGCCAGAUGUGAAAUCCCCGGGCUUAACCUGGGAAUGGCAUUUGGGACUGCAAGGCUAGAAUCUGGCAGAGGGGGGUAGAAUUCCACGUGUAGCAGUGAAAUGCGUAGAGAUGUGGAGGAACACCGAUGGCGAAGGCAGCCCCCUGGGUCAAGAUUGACGCUCAUGCACGAAAGCGUGGGGAGCAAACAGG